rnacentral:rRNA from 1 species
GAUGAACGCUGGCGGCGUGCCUAAUACAUGCAAGUCGAGCGAACAGACGAGGAGCUUGCUCCUCUGACGUUAGCGGCGGACGGGUGAGUAACACGUGGAUAACCUACCUAUAAGACUGGGAUAACUUCGGGAAACCGGAGCUAAUACCGGAUAAUAUAUUGAACCGCAUGGUUCAAUAGUGAAAGACGGUUUUGCUGUCACUUAUAGAUGGAUCCGCGCCGUAUUAGCUAGUUGGUAAGGUAACGGCUUACCAAGGCGACGAUGCGUAGCCGACCUGAGAGGGUGAUCGGCCACACUGGAACUGAGACACGGUCCAGACUCCUACGGGAGGCAGCAGUAGGGAAUCUUCCGCAAUGGGCGAAAGCCUGACGGAGCAACGCCGCGGGAGUGAUGAAGGUCUUCGGAUCGUAAAACUCUGUUAUUAGGGAAGAACAAAUGUGUAAGUAACUAUGCACGUCUUGACGGUACCUAAUCAGAAAGCCACGGCUAACUACGU